CCCCUCAACGUUAGAGGUCCCUUGGUGGCUGUAUCUAUCGAUGUCGCUUCACAGGAUACCCAUUGAGGCUAGA
rnacentral:snoRNA from 14 species